CACGUAGGCACCAAGCGUUGUCCGGAUUUAUUGGGCGUAAAGAGCUCGUAGGCGGUUGAGUAAGUCGGGUGUGAAAACUCUGGGCUUAACCCAGAGCCGCCACUCGAUACUGCUCUGACUUGAGUACGGUAGGGGAGCAGGGAAUUCCUAGUGUAGCGGUGAAAUGCGCAGAUAUUAGGAGGAACACCGGUGGCGAAGGCGCUGCUCUGGGCCGAAACUGACGCUGAGGAGCGAAAGCGUGGGGAGCAAACAGG
rnacentral:rRNA from 1 species